AGCGAACGCUGGCGGCAGGCUUAACACAUGCAAGUCGAACGGGCGUAGCAAUACGUCAGUGGCAGACGGGUGAGUAACGCGUGGGAACAUGCCUCUUGGUUCGGAACAACACAGGGAAACUUGUGCUAAUACCGGAUAAGCCCUUACGGGGAAAGAUUUAUCGCCGAGAGAUUGGCCCGCGUCUGAUUAGCUAGUUGGUAGGGUAAUGGCCUACCAAGGCGACGAUCAGUAGCUGGUCUGAGAGGAUGAUCAGCCACAUUGGGACUGAGACACGGCCCAAACUCCUACGGGAGGCAGCAGUGGGGAAUAUUGGACAAUGGGCGCAAGCCUGAUCCAGCCAUGCCGCGUGAGUGAUGAAGGCCCUAGGGUUGUAAAGCUCUUUUUACGGGAAGAUAAUGACGGUACCGUAAGAA
rnacentral:rRNA from 1 species